AACACUUCAAUUCAAUCAUAAACCAUUAGACUUUCAAUUUCAAAAUUCCAUCAUUUCAUACAAAAACUCCAUACAAUUUUCAAUUCCAAAAAUCACAUUCAAUUCUCAUUUAAACCAUUCAAAUACAAUUGGGGUUCCAAAUUCCAUUUAACAAUUAUUCACAUUUCAAUUACAACAUACCAUACACCAUCAUUCAUAUUACAUUCAAAUACAAAUUCAAUCCUACAUACAACAAGUCAUAAUUACAUAUAAAUUAUUUCACUCCAAAUAGCUCCAAUUCCAAAACAGUCUCAUCUUCAAUACAUUCCAUGAAUCCAACCCACCUUCCAAUUGCACUAUUCAAUACAGAUUCAUGUGUGCAUCCACCCUGCAAAAUCAUUCACAUAUACAUGUUAUCAUAAGAAAAUGUGAUGAGCAAAACUAAAUUAGUGCAUGACCAUACAUAUCAUAACCACAUUUCCAAUCAUCAAACAAUUACAAAUGGCGGUACAAAAACAGUCCAAGCAUCACAAUACAAUGCAUCAAAAACUUCACACCAUGUUAACAUAACAUACCAAGCAUUCCACAAACCAACAUAACAAUCAUUGCAAAUUAACAUCAACAUUCAAGCAUGCCAAGUGAAAAGCCACACAAGACACUAUAAUAAAACCAAUCCAUGGCAAUGCAACUAUAAAACCCCAAUGCAAUGCAAUCCUCAACCAAGCAAAACCAGAACCAUGCAUAUUGAAGCAAACCCAUUCAUGCAUUAGCACAUAACCACAACAAGGAAUCAUUCACCUAUUUUCAACAAAAUUGACACCAUUUAAGAAAUAUUAAUUCAGUGCAUAGAAAAGUUUUAAUGCCAUAACACUAAGCAUCUUAACACUAACAUCCAACCAUAAUUUGACAUGGCAUACAAUAAAGAUACUAUUGUAACAGUCAUUCACAGAAUAAGGUUAAGCAAUCCAUUGGCAUAUCACACAAAGUAUCAUUACAGACCAUUCAUUGCAAUACAUAUUGGUCACUACAAGCAUGACAAUUUUAACAGCAACAUCAUUCAUUACAGCAUUCAAAUUCAACUAACAUAGUAUAAUAGAUAAAUUCAUCCAAAUUCUAACAUAGCUUGCAACUCACAUAACAGUUAAUUAGCUAUUCAAUAAUAGACCUAACUGCUAACAGAUUUAACACAUAACAUAAUUAGUUAUUAAAUUCUAAUUGACGUCAUAACUAACAACUAACAACAUAUUUCAGAAUGGCUAGCUCACUUAAUCACUAACCAAUCGAUUCUAACAGAUAACCAUUCUGUAAAACUCUUCACCCACCCUGCUAACCAAAAUGCUCAACCUUCAAAAUUGAACUCUUCAAUACCAAUCAACCUCAUAACCACCCAUGGAACCCAACUUAUAUAAUAGAAUGGAACUUCCUAACCUACCUCAUAACCUUCCAACUGAAUUUCUCAAAAUAACUUCUUACACAACACUAACCGCAUUCAUGUAUUCAUUAAACAGAAACUUCUAACAAUUUUUUCCUCACCUUUAACCAACUACUAACUGAAUUCUCUCAACUCUAACUGUUUACUAACCUCAACAAACUACAACCAUCUCAAACAAACAAAAUGGGAUUGAAACAACAAGCUAACGGAGGAAGAGAAAACUUCAAAAGAGAUUCACAACAAAACUCUCGAAGAAGAAGGCUUCUAACAAAAAAAACAAUAGAAGCAUAACAAUUGGAGAAGAAGAAAAUCAAAACCGGAGCAUAUAGUAGAAAAAAUAAAAUAAAAGGAAUAGAGGGAUUACAAUUCAAAAAUGGAAACUCUAUCUCACCUUUUCAUAAUUCAAUCGUUUUCACUCUUCUCUCUUCACUUGAAUCCACGAUUCAUCACCCUCACCUCAAUUCAGUACUAAUACGCAAUAAACAACGACUACAAUUCGCAACGGCACACAACGGAAGAGAUUGAGACAAAUCGAAGGCGUCAAGAAGAAGAUUACCCGGAGCCACUGCGUCGAAAUCAUCCGGUAAGUUUCUCCCUUUCGUCUUCUUUCAUUUGCGUGCAAGAACAAGUUGUUAAGUGAUUUCAAUUUCUGUUGAUUGCGAUUCGACGUUGAGUUUGGACGCGAAUUCGAAAUUUGUUCUUAUCCUUCAUAGAGGUUUAAUUUGCAUUCCUGAUUCUUCGUUUGUCUAUGGUUGUGCACGAGGUUGAAGUGAGUUUGAAGACUAAGAUUUUGUGGGUGUGAGUAUUGUGACUGUGAACAAACAUUUUCAAGCGUUCUGACUUGGGCGUUAUGUUUAAGCAUGGAACCUGGUCUUGUGGUUGCGUGGACAUGAGUGGUUAACCCGGUUCUUGGCGUUUUUUAGAAGACUUGGGCCUUUGUCCCAACCAAGCAUUUUCUUUAUCCAUACACCCGCUUCAAUCUAUUAACCCCCAUACCCCAUUGUUCAUGACCUUGUUGUUAAGUCUUGCUAACCCCAGUAAUCCCCCUUAAUCUUAUUUUAAUUUAUGUUAGUUCUGUUUUUUUAUUAACAUUGCUAAUGAUUUUUUUAAUCUUGGUAAAAUUAGGAUUUUUCUUGAUUUUUAUUAAUUAGGGAUUAACAUAGUUUUGUUAAUUAGGAUAAUUCAUCAUUAGAAUUGAUUUGUUAAUUAGAAUGAGGUUUAGGCUUAAUCAUCAUGUGGAUUUGAUCUUGAUUUUUUCAUAAUUAACUCCAUUGAUUAAUCUUUCCCUGAUUAGUAUAAUUUAUCAUUAGGGUUUGGUGAUCCAUUUUGUUGAUAUAGUUCGUGAUUGAAUAAUGUGCUUAAGUCUUGAUUUUAUCAUGAAUUUUCUUUAGUUAAAUUUUCAUUCAAUUUGCUAUUUCAUUGUGAUUGCCAUGUCCAUAUGUAAAUAAGAUUUCAAGUCAUGAUUUAGAUUGUCAAUUGGCUUUGAUUAAUUUGAAAUCCUAAUUCAUGUUUAGGUGGAUUUUAAUCGUUAGAUUUAA
rnacentral:lncRNA from 1 species